rnacentral:rRNA from 1 species
UACGGGAGGCAGCAGUGAGGAAUAUUGGUCAAUGGACGAGAGUCUGAACCAGCCAAGUAGCGUGCAGGAAGACGGCCCUAUGGGUUGUAAACUGCUUUUAUAUAGGGAUAAAGUGCACUACGUGUAGUGUUUUGUAGGUACUAUAUGAAUAAGGACCGGCUAAUUCCGUGCCAGCAGCCGCGGUAAU